rnacentral:rRNA from 1 species
GUGUCAGCAGCCGCGGUAAUACGUAGGUGGCGAGCGUUGUCCGGAAUUAUUGGGCGUAAAGCGCGCGCAGGCGGGAAAGUAAGUCUACUCUAAAAGUGCGGGGCUCAACCCCGUGAUGGGGUGGAAACUGCUUUUCUUGAGUGCCGGAGAGGAAAGUGGAAUUCCCAGUGUAGCGGUGAAAUGCGUAGAUAUUGGGAGGAACACCAGUGGCGAAGGCGACUUUCUGGACGGUGUCUGACGCUGAGGCGCGAAAGCCAGGGGAGCGAACGGGAUUAGAUACCCCGGUAGUCCUGGCGGUAAACGAUGGGUACUAGGUGUAGGGGGUAUCGACCCCUCCUGUGCCGGAGUUAACGCAAUAAGUACCCCGCCUGGGGAGUACGGCCGCAAGGUUGAA